rnacentral:rRNA from 1 species
UACGAAGGGGGCUAGCGUUGUUCGGAAUUACUGGGCGUAAAGCGUAUGCAGGCGGAUCGUUAAGUCGGGGGUGAAAUCCCGAGGCUCAACCUCGGAACUGCCUUCGAUACUGGCGACCUUCGAGUCCGGGAGAGGUGAGUGGAACUCCGAGUGUAGAGGUGAAAUUCGUAGAUAUUCGGAAGAACACCGGUGGCGAAGGCGGCAUCCUGGACCAACACUGACACUGAUGAGCGAAAGCCAGGGGAGCAAACGGG